rnacentral:rRNA from 1 species
AAUAGAUACCCUGGUAGUCCACGCCGUAAACGAUGCUAACUCGUUUUUGGGCCUUUGGGUUCAGAGACUAAGCGAAAGUGAUAAGUUAGUCACCUGGGGAGUACGUUCGCAAGAAUGAAACUCAAAGGAAUUGACGGGGGCCCGCACAAGCGGUGGAUUAUGUGGUUUAAUUCGAUGAUACGCGAGGAACCUUACCAAGGCUUAAAUGGGAAAUGACAGGCUUAGAAAUAGGCUUUUCUUCGGACAUUUUUCAAGGUGCUGCAUGGUUGUCGUCAGCUCGUGCCGUGAGGUGUUAGGUUAAGUCCUGCAACGAGCGCAACCCCCUGUCACUAGUUGCCAUCAUUAAGUUGGGGACUCUAGUGAGACUGCCUACGCAAGUAGAGAGGAAGGUGGGGAUGACGUCAAAUCAUCACGGCCCUUACGCCUUGGGCCACACACGUAAUCAAUGGCCAGUACAGAGGGCAGCUACACAGCGAUGUGAUGCAAAUCUCGAAAGCUGGUCUCAGUUCGGAUUGGAGUCUGCAACUCGACU